ACCCGCUGAACUUAAGCAUAUCAAUAAGCGGAGGAAAAGAAACUAACAAGGAUUCCCCUAGUAACUGCGAGUGAAGCGGGAAAAGCUCAAAUUUAAAAUCUGGUAGUCUUUGGCUGCCCGAGUUGUAAUCUAGAGAAGUGUUACCCGUGCUGGACCGUGUACAAGUCUCCUGGAAUGGAGCGUCAUAGAGGGUGAGAAUCCCGUCUUUGACACGGACUCCCAGUGCUUUUGUGGUGCGCUCUCAACGAGUCGAGUUGUUUGGGAAUGCAGCUCAAAAUGGGUGGUGAAUUCCAUCUAAAGCUAAAUAUUGGCGAGAGACCGAUAGCGAACAAGUACCGUGAGGGAAAGAUGAAAAGAACUUUGGAAAGAGAGUUAAACAGUACGUGAAAUUGUUGAAAGGGAAACGCUUGAAGUCAGUCGCGUUGUCCAGAAAUCAACCUUGGUUCUCCUGGGUGUACUUUCUGGUUCAACGGGUCAGCAUCAGUUUUGAUCGAUGGAGAGAGUCCAAGGGAAUGUGGCAUCUUCGGAUGUGUUAUAGCCCUCGGUCGUAUGCAUCGGUUGGGACUGAGGAAUUCAGCACGCCGCAAGGCCGGGGUUCGCCCACGUACGUGCUUAGGAUGCUGGCAUAAUGGCUUU
rnacentral:rRNA from 1 species